rnacentral:tRNA from 2 species
GGAGAGAUGUCCGAGUGGUUUAAGGAAGCAGUCUUGAAAACUGCCGUACGGAAACGUACCGUGGGUUCGAAUCCCACUCUCUCCGCCA